rnacentral:rRNA from 1 species
UGCCUAAUACAUGCAAGUCGAACGGCAUCACGGUCCAGAUUACUGGAUUGGUGACGAGUGGCGGACGGGUGAGUAACGCGUAGGAAUAUAUCUUAUAGAGGGGGACAACUUGGGGAAACUCAAGCUAAUACCGCAUGACAUCUGAGGAUUAAAGCUGGGGACCGGAAGGCCUGGCGCUAUAAGGGUAGCCUGCGUCUGAUUAGCUAGUUGGUAGGGUAAGGGCCUACCAAGGCGACGAUCGGUAGCUGGUCUGAGAGGAUGGUCAGCCACACUGGGACUGAGACACGGCCCAGACUCUUACGGGAGGCAGCAGUGGGGAAUAUUGGACAAUGGGGGGAACCCUGAUCCAGCAAUGCCGCGUGUGUGAAGAAGGCCUGCGGGUUGUAAAGCACUUUCAGUGGGGAGGGGUUUUGUUUGGUUAAGAGCUGAAUGAAAGGACGUUACCCACAGAAGAAGCACCGGCUAACUCCGUGCCAGCAGCCGCGGUAAUACGGGGGGUGCGAGCGUUAAUCGGAAUUACUGGGCGUAAAGGGUGCGUAGGUUGUUAGAUAAGUUAUCUGUAAAAUCCCUGGGCUUAACCUGGGCAGGCCAGAUGAGACUGUUUGACUAGAGUAUGGGAGAGGGUAGUGGAAUUUCCGGUGUAGCGGUGAAAUGCGUAGAGAUCGGAAGGAACACCGGUGGCGAAGGCGGCUACCUGGCCUGAUACUGACACUGAGGCACGAAAGCGUGGGGAGCAAACAGGAUUAGAUACCCUGGUAGUCCACGCUGUAAACGAUGUCAACUAGCUGUUGGUCAUACUUUAGUGUGAUUGGUAGCGGAGCAAACGCAAUAAGUUGACCGCCUGGGGAGUACGGUCGCAAGAUUAAAACUCAAAGGAAUUGACGGGGGCCCGCACAAGCGGUGGAGCAUGUGGUUUAAUUCGAUGCAACGCGAAGAACCUUACCUACCCUUGACAUACAACGAAGAUAUCAGAGAUGAGAUUGUGCCUUUUGGAACGUUGAUACAGGUGCUGCAUGGCUGUCGUCAGCUCGUGUCGUGAGAUGUUGGGUUAAGUCCCGUAACGAGCGCAACCCUUGUCCUUAGUUGCCAACGAUUGAAGACGGGAACUCUAAGGAGACUGCCGGUGACAAACCGGAGGAAGGCGGGGACGACGUCAAGUCAUCAUGGCCCUUACGGGUAGGGCUACACACGUGCUACAAUGGUUAGUACAGAGGGAAGCGAAGCGGUGACGUGGAGCAAAUCCUAGAAAGCUAAUCGUAGUCCGGAUUGAAGUCUGGAACUCGACUUCAUGAAGUCGGAAUCGCUAGUAAUCGCGAAUCAGCAUGUCGCGGUGAAUACGUUCCCGGGCCUUGCACACACCGCCCGUCACA